ncrna:unclassified sequences lysM-TM7 RNA
ACCUACCAGAAAAUACUUUAUAGCAUUCGUUUAACUCUAUAAUAUUAAUUAAAAAGGUCGACAUUAUGCUAAUUUUUGAAAAGAAAGGGUAUUAUUAAGGUAGUGCAUCACAGUAAUGUGUUUGCGGGAG